AAAUGAACACCUUCAGGAAAUCUUCAACUUCAAACCAGCAGAGGAUCCAUCUGGCCCUGAAUUGUAAGAACCCAAAACUGAAGAGGUUGAAGUUCAAUACUUUUUGCCUGACAUAAGGAAAAAGAAUUGUAGCAAGAGAUUCCAGCAAUCACCCAACUCUUUGGUCAGCAAAGCUGGGGCUCAGCUCAGGAAGAAGCAGUGCAAUCUAGCAACGGUAUUUUCUGUGUCAUCUAUUUUGUACUGUGUUUUCCAGAUUCAUUAAUUUGAUGAAAGUUGAAUCUAGU